rnacentral:tRNA from 1 species
AGUCCUUUAGUUUAAUUUAAAACGUUAGUUUUGUAGUCUAAAAAUGUGUUAAUCAAGGACUU